AUUGAACGCUGGCGGCAGGCCUAACACAUGUAAGUCGAACGAGUGGCGGACGGGUGAGUAAUGUCUGGGAAACUGCCUGAUGGAGGGGGAUAACUACUGGAAACGGUAGCUAAUACCGCAUACCAUACGAUGUGCCCAGAUGGGAUUAGCUAGUAGGUGGGGUAAAGGCUCAACUAGGCGAAGAUCCCUAGCGGGUCUGAGAGGAUGACCAGACACACUGGAACUGUGACAAGGUCAAGACUCCUACGGGAGGAAGCAGUGGGGAAUAUUGCACAAUGGGCGAAAGCCUGAUGCAGCCAUGCCGCGUGUAUGAAGAAGGCCUUCGGGAUGGAAAGUACUUUCAGCGGGGAGGCGUUAACCGCAGAAGAAGCACCGGAUAACUCCGUGCCAGCAGCCGCGGUAAUAC
rnacentral:rRNA from 1 species